CGGGGGAACGAAACAAUUCCGAAAGGGAAUGCUAAUACCGGAUGUGACGCUCCUAUCGCAUGACGGGAGCGUGAAAGAUGGCCUCUACAUGUAAGCUAUCGCUAAAGGAUGGGCCUGCGUCUGAUUAGCUAGUUGGUAGUGUAACGGACAACCAAGGCGAUGAUCAGUAGCCGGUCUGAGAGGAUGAACGGCCACAUUGGGACUGAGACACGGCCCAG
rnacentral:rRNA from 1 species